AAAUAUUUUGAAUAAUAAAAAGUUAUAGCAAGUUCCAAGUAUUUCUACAUAAAUUCAAAUGUCUCAUGCUCACUAUCAUCGUUUUUAUCAGCCGAUGGACAUCCAGUGCUGGAAAUAGGCCUCUUGUGACUUCAAAACACCACGGUCUCGAGCCUCCAUCAUAUAGCAGCUUCCUGCAACCCGCUUGAUGUCUUUGGUCCACUAAGCGGGGGUAAAACAGUUUCCCCAACCCAUUCAAUAAAUAUAAAAAGUAUCAUAAGUUGCCAGAAUUAGUGAAAACUGCACAGCUGUGUAUGUUCUUUUGUCGCUUUAUUAUCCUAGCCUGUAAUAAACUUGACUGUGGGCAUCAUGCAAAAAGAACUUUUUAAGAAAUUUGUAUGCCCUGCAAUAACACACUUCAGCUUCUCAACUUGCUGAGCUAUGUCUCAGUAACUUUGGUUCUUCUACAGAAUGAAAUGUCUACUCUGCUCUAACUCUUAUGAGAUAAUUCUUUGUCAAAUAGACUAACUAUAUUUAUUUGCUAUGAUAUGUUUUAUACAUAAUUAUUAUUCUACGAAAAUUAAACAGUAAAUUUCAUUGCUGAACACACCUGAUAAAAAACUCAGUAAUGUUUAAUUUUAUUUUAAUUAAAAUUAAAAUAUUGACUUAAAACUCAAAUGAGAGCAGGUUUCACAAUAUAUUACUAAAAAAUGUGAGAAAGGUAUCAAUGUUCUACGGGCUGUAGCAGGAGUAUGGUGGGGAGCUCACUCUUACUCCUUAAAACUAUUAUACAAUGCACUAGUUCGUAGUCACAUUGAUUACUGUUCAUUCAUUUUAGAUCCCUUAAAUAAAACUACCUCAGAACUGCUGAACCGAAUUCAAUAUAGGUCUCUUAAAAUUGUUUUAGGGGCAAUGAAGUCAUCCCCCACAAAUGCUCUACAGGUUGAAUGUGUUGAUCCUCCCCUGCAUCUCAGGCGACAGUAUCUAUGUGAUAGAUUUAUCAGUAAAACACUUCAGCUUUCUUCCCACCCUCUAUGGUCCAAAUUAACCCAGCUGUCAAAAGUUAUUAGCCCUAGUAAUCCCUCUCCAUGUCUCCUUAAUAGUUUUGAAAAAUUCACUAAGCUUCCGCAUCCCUUGUCAUCAUUAUCAAUAAAUCCUCUAUACUCUACAUCAUACGAGGCCCUUGUUUACAAUCCUCCUGUGAUUACAGAUCUGGGUCUAACUAAAGAUGCCCCUGAUACCAACACAAAGUUUCAAGAAAUUGUUCAUCAAAAUUGGUCAAAUUACUUGUACAUUUACACAGAUGCUUCAAAAUUCUCCCCUGAAAGUUGUGUUGGUGCAGCUUGCUGGGUUCCCAAAUAUAAAAUAGUCUUGCAAUUUAAAUGUCCUCCAGAAACCUCGGUGUUCACAGGAGAGGCUGUUGCCUUGUUAGAGGCAAUCCUGUUUGCCCGAUCCCAUAACAUAAAACAAACUGUUAUUUUUACUGACUCCCUUAGCUGCUUAUAUUCCAUAAGGGAAAAUCCUUUUAGAAGUAAGUCCAAAUUUCCUAUUAUACUACAGAUUAGGGAAGCUCUGUUCUCAUGUCAUGAAAUUGGUUUGUCUAUAUUUCUAGCAUGGAUACCCAGUCAUUCCGGCAUCUCUGGUAAUGAAUCUGCGGACUCUUGUGCUAAGGCAGCUGUACAACUUGGCUCAUUGGAACAUUUUAAAAAUUAUUCACAUGACCUCAGUAACUUAGCAAAAAACUAUUUAGAUAAAUCUUGGCAAUCAUUCUUUAACCACUCAAAAACCCUUAAAGGUAAAUUUUAUGCAUCAAUUCAACCAAAUAUACCCAAGCGACCUUGGUUCUUUCACCAUAGGUAUGCUGACCGAUGGGUCACCUCUACAAUAUCCCGUUUAAGACUUGGUCAUGCCUGUACACCUGUCCACUUGAACAAAAUUAGAGUGAGAGAUCACUCUCUGUGCGAAUGUGGUUUGGACGAAGGCUCAGUUUCCCAUAUCCUCUUCUCUUGCCCUAAACUUCUCCACCCUCUAUAUGAUGUUCUUCCUCCUAAAUUCCCACGCCCUUUGAAUGUUGAGUGUUUGUUAAUGUCUGUGUUUAGUCCCUAUUGUAAAUUUAUAUGUAAAUAUAUUGAAUGUAAUAACCUUAAGUUGUAAAUAUUAUGUCUAUUAACAAUAUUAAUUUUGUGUUUUUUCAGAAGUGUGACUAACAACUGAACUAACAAAAGCUUACACCGAUCAACCUCUAUAAAAGUGUGUCUUCCUUACCACGUGACAUUGGCGAAGUAAAUUGUACCCAAUUGGUACAGCAGCAAGCCAUAUAAUCAAAAAUUGAAUUGAAUUGAA